rnacentral:rRNA from 1 species
CCCUUAGAUGUUCUGGGCCGCACACGCGCUACACUGAAGGAGGCAGCGUGUACUCCUGGAUCGAAAGAUUUGGGUAACCCGCGAAUCUCCUUCGUGCUAGGGAUUGAGGUUUGCAAUUAUCCUUCAUGAACGAGGAAUUCCCAGUAAGUGCAAGUCAUAAGCUUGCGCUGACUAUGUCCCUGCCCUUUGUACACACCGCCCGUCGCUACUACCGAUUGAAUGAUUUAGUGAGGACUUCGGACUGGGACCGAUGCGGCUUUCGGGCUGCGUCGGUAUUCUGGAAAGAUGUCCAAACUGUAUCAUUUAGAGGAAGUAAAANUCGUANCA